rnacentral:sRNA from 1 species
CAGCUGCUACCAUACAAAGUGCAGGGGGGCGCAAAGCUGGAAAUAGCCGAACUUCAUUAAUUGCAAGUUGACUAGCAGAAUACAUGAAGUACAGCAAGGAGACUUAGUCAUAUGGGCUGCAUAGCCAAUAGGGCGCAUAAUUAAGUUAGAUUUAAGUAGAUUUAAAUUUGAAUAUUAGGCGCAAGCGCCGUCAGAUAUGUUCGCUGCACAUAUACAUAUAUGUGCCGAAAAUAAACUUUUGUAUUGUA